UCUCAGCCUAUCUUCUCUUCCUCUCAGCCGAUAAAACUGGAUCGAGUUUGAUGAAUCAGUUUCGAUUCAGUUUCUUCAUCAUCUAUGAUAGGAUUUAUAGGGAUUUAUAAAUCGAUUUUAGGGUUUCAGUCUGUAUUAUGAUUCGAUUUUAGUUUGUUCGUCGGAGUUCGCACUUGGAAAAACUGAUCUUCACUCUCAGCUAAUCGUGAGAAAGCAUCUGUUCUACUUUGUUUAAUUUAGAUGCAGAUGGGAAUGAAGUUGAUAAGUUAACUGAGAAGCUACAAGGGGUUGGGAUUGGCUCUGGAUUGCUUCUGGUAGUGCUGAGGGUGAUGUUCUAACUACUUCUAAGUUCAGGUUAAGAAGUAGAGGGAGUGGUCAGUUUUGUGUGGAUGAUGCAUUUGGAAGGGGCUUGAUUGAGUGAUACUGAGAUUAGCAGAAAGAGAAGUUUGCUGGGAAGGCUUAAUGUCGUAUAAGCAAUUUAUUCAAGAGCUUGAAGAUGACAUACUGCCGGCUGAAGCUGAGCGCAGGUAUCAGGAAUACAGAUCAGUGUACAUUUCUACACAGAAACGUACUUUCUUUGAUGCACACAAGGAUGACGAGUGGCUGAAAGACAAAUAUCACCCAACAAAUUUAGUAUCAGUUAUUGAAAGGAGAGAUCAGUUUAGGGGUCUUUGACAAAGAUAGAUCUCAUGGAUAAGGGUACUGACACUGUUGAUGGAGUGGGAGUAUUAUGCAAGUACCCUUGAUAGGUGGUGCUCUCCAUGUUCGUGCAUUAUUCCAAGAUGCUAAGAAAAAGGUUCCUGAUAGUGGGUCAUCGAAUUACAACAUCAAUGGAGUGAAGCAUAACACUAAUCUGACAUGUGGGAUAAAUCUGGGAUCGAUGGUGACACUGAGAAUAUCAGCUCGUUUGGUGGAAUACCUUCUAUCAAGAAAGGGUUUGAAUAUCCUUCGGCAUGGAAGUCCCUUGGCUUAUGAACUAUCUUUGAACUGACUGGCAUCUAUGAUUGUUGCUUUUCUAUGUUGUAAGUUUUAUAAGUUACAAUGUAGGAAUUUUCUAUGAACUCAGCAAGUUUUUUAACUUAGAAUUUGAUACUUACAAGAAUUUUGGUAACUUAGAAGAAUUUUUCUUAUUUUUUGAUUGAAAGCCAUAUGAAUUGACUGAA